rnacentral:RNase_P_RNA from 1 species
GAAGCUGACCAGACAGUCGCCGCUUCGUCGUCGUUCUUUCGGGGAGACGGGCGGAGGGGAGGAAAGUCCGGGCUCCAUAGGGCAGGGUGCCAGGUAACGCCUGGGGGGGAAACCCACGACCAGUGCAACAGAGAGCAAACCGCCGAUGGCCCACGUAAGUGGGAUCAGGUAAGGGUGAAAGGGUGCGGUAAGAGCGCACCGCGCGGCUGGUAACAGUCCGUGGCACGGUAAACUCCACCCGGAGCAAGGCCAAAUAGGGGUUCAUAAGGUACGGCCCGUACUGAACCCGGGUAGGCUGCUUGAGCCAGUGAGCGAUUGCUGGCCUAGAUGAAUGACUGUCCACGACAGAACCCGGCUUAUCGGUCAGUUUCACUU